rnacentral:lncRNA from 1 species
AUAGUGUUUGGCUUCUCUUGGCCACUGGAUGAUAUGUCAGAAAGAGGAUCAUCUCCUUCUGCACCAUGGUUGACACAGAUAACUGAAACUGUGGAAAGAAAACCUGCAGGGAAGACUAUUAUAUCACCAAUAACUUGCUGGGAAAUACAGCCCAAAGUCAAGGUGGAGGAGGUGAAGACAAAUGUUGGAAAUGAACAACCAGUAGUUUUCAUGUCCUGCAGAGAAGGUGGGCCCCAGAGCACAUAUCAUGUGGUGAGAUGGAAAGGUUUUUUGGUUUUGGGUUCCCUUGUUUGUUUUUUGGCAUGUUCACUGAAUGGAAAGGAUCCCACAGAGAGUCAAGAGGCCCA